CCUACGGGAGGCAGCAGUGAGGAAUAUUGGUCAAUGGACGCAAGUCUGAACCAGCCAUGCCGCGUGCAGGAAGACGGCUCUAUGAGUUGUAAACUGCUUUUGUAGGAGGGUAAACGCAGAUACGUGUAUCGGUCUGAAAGUAUCGUACGAAUAAGGAUCGGCUAACUCCGUGCCAGCAGCCGCGGUAAUACGGAGGAUUCAAGCGUUAUCCGGAUUUAUUGGGUUUAAAGGGUGCGUAGGCGGUCGGUUCAGUUAGAGGUGAAAUCCCGCGGCUCAACUUCGGAAUUGCCUCUGAUACUGUUCGUCUUGAGUGUACUUGCGGUAGGCGGAAUGUUUGGUGUAGCGGU
rnacentral:rRNA from 1 species